rnacentral:lncRNA from 1 species
UCCAUAUAUUUAUUAAGGUAUAAUAAAGCUAACCCUUUUAAACGAACUAUAAUAUUUUGAACAAUAAUUAGACUCAAGAGGUUAAGAGAACUAAACGUGCUAAGACUAUAGUAGUUCUAGGAUGAGUGACCUUCUGAGAGUGGAGUGUCACAAUUGGUAUCAGAACCAAUCAUCGGUCAGAAAUGAGAUAAGUCUCGACUGAAUCAGGAUUAUACAAAGGGACACUUUUAGGAUUUACAAUAAUUCUAUAUAUAAGUUUGACAAGACGAUAGCAUUUUUGGAGAUCGAGUUUUUGAGAUUAAUGGUUAGUGCCAACAAUCCGACAAGUGGUUUCAGAGUCAGAGGCCACGGGUUUGAUUCCCGCGCAUGCUACAAAUGUGUGCAAAUACUGGAGGAGGAUUGUUGGUUUAAAUGGGCCAACAUUCUGCCUUAUAGCGGGAGGCUAUGUUGGGUUGAGUCAUGUUCAAAAUGGCGUAAGGCAAGGUGGGCCGAGUCAUGUUCAAACUUCAAAAUGGCAUGAGGCUGGGUGGGCCGAGUCACAAUCAAGACUCGUGGGCGUUGUAUCGGUGCGUUUUAAGUGAAUUAAUUGCGUGUUUCUAACAGCUCGAGUUUUUGAAAUUAAUUAAUAAUUAGCACCAAAAAAUAUUUACAUUUAAGAGGUUAAAAGAGUUAAAUGUGCUAUAACUAAAUUAGUUCUAGAAUGGAU